GUGGGGAAUCUUCCGCAAUGGACGAAAGUCUGACGGAGCAACGCCGCGUGAGUGAAGAAGGUUUUCGGAUCGUAAAGCUCUUUCGUUGGGGACGAACGUGCUCUUUGUGAAUAAUGAGGAGUAAUGACGGUACCUAAAUAAGAAGCCACGGCUAACUACGUGCCAGCAGCCGCGGUAAUACGUAGGUGGCAAGCGUUGUCCGGAAUUAUUGGGCGUAAAGCGCGCGCAGGCGGGAUAUCAAGUCUGUCUUAAAAGUGCGAGGCUCAACCUCGUGAGGGGACAGAAACUGGUAUUCUUGAGUGUCGGAGAGGAAAGUGGAAUUCCAAGUGUAGCGGUGAAAUGCGUAGAGAUUUGGAAGAACACCAGUGGCGAAGGCGACUUUCUGGACGAUGUCUGACGCUGAGGCGCGAAAGCUAGGGGAGCGAACGGGAUUAGAUACCCUGGUAGUCC
rnacentral:rRNA from 1 species